ACAGACUGACGGUGCAGAACAAAAUGCGAAGAUCAUGUGGUCUGACAUUCAGGGUGAUGCACGUCAGAAAAAAAAAAAAAAGAAAAAAAAAAGAAAAAAAGAAGAAAAAAAAUCACUCUGUGAGUUCUGCAUAAAGGCCAGAACUUCUGUUUGGAUAGAGGAGAAUAGAUCCAGUCUUGAUUUAAGGACUUAAUGUCUCCACACUCAGGGGCAAACUGUUCCAUUUAAUGAGUUGAAUCAGCUCCCUGGGAGGUCAGAGUGAGGUGAGAAUGGAAAGGAGGAGGAAGAGGAGGAGGAAGCAGGAAGGCAGCUUCAGCAAUACCAAACUCUCCAGCUAAGGCCUUCUCUCUGCCGACCCCCAUUUCCAAAAGACCAAAAUAUGUUGCAAAACCAGAAAGCCAAGUACUGCAAAAUGCUUCUUGGACCAUCUUGGAUGUGUUAACUCGAAGACUGCUGAUGACUUCAGUAGAUUUGAAUCUUAUGAAUGUGUGAUUGCAGUGCCUGGGGAUAAUGUAACCAGCAACGUGAUUUAUGUACAUACUUUUGGACCAGAGGGAGGUACCAUAGGGUAGAAUAUGUGUCUUUGAAUAACAAUGCAUUAUUUUAUCACUGCAUUUCAACGUUUUGAACAACUCGGAUAAUGCAGAGUAGGGGAGGAGGCUUAGACGCACAAAUGACAAAUCUCAUCAGCUGUUUUCCCUCAGUAUUCCCACAGAUUUCUUCUGAGGUUGGUCUAUUAUCCCUGGAGCUUUCCAGUCAGAGACUUUGCAGAAAAAAAUCAUUAGAAAUAAAAUCAGGUACAGAAGAAUAUGAACAUCUUAGACAGAAAAGGAACAAGGGAGAGAGCAAGUUUUAAAAAGCAAGACUGCUAGCAUCAGGAAUGGUAGAAGGCAGUGAACAUUAGAUGUGCUUCCCACGCAUACAGGAGUUUCAACUACAUUUCUUGGGUGUGUGACCCAGGUUUUAGGUGUAAUGAAGAUGGUUGUUAACUAUCUACAGAGAUAGAUAUCCAUCACUGGUUAGGAGAUAGAUAACCACCACUCGAGGUAGGAGUCAGGUGCCGAGUGUGACCCUUGUGCAUACAUUGCUCUCAGUGACCAGGGUACUGUCCUAGAGCAUGGGAACACAGUAGGCAGGGUCAGGGGCUGGUAAUAGGUCAACAGCCCCCUCCCACAAGUGAUAAUCCAGGCCCAGGAUGCAUUCAGGAAAGUCAGCCAGGAAAAGAGAUCAAAAGCAGUACUGGAAACAAGGCAACCACACAGGUACAAGGUCCAUCCAGGACACUGGGCCAGAGGCAAAACUAGGCCUGAGCUGAAAUGGGACUCCUGGACCAGUGGAUGUGGGUUGGGUGUAGAUGUUGGGCGAGGCCAUUAAUGCCUCCCGGUACACUCACGUCCUGAUGGAAACAUAAGCAUGCUUAGGCUGUGUGGUCAUUACAUGGCACUGUGAAAUUGUGACCAAUAUUUGGCGAGUUUUAUGCAGCACUGUUCUGCACAGCCAGAGGGAUUUAUAGCCUAGUCUCAAGGAGGCUAAACAAAACAAUGAUUGGCUUGUUGGGGAUAACAUGAUCUCCAGGUGGGCUGUGUUAGUUCUUUGAUUAUCUGUCUUUUCAAAAUGCUCCCUUUCGUAAGGAGGACUCUUUCAACAGUCAUAUUAGGUGAUGUCACUUAUUAGAUGCUCAUCCUCCUUCUAGAACUCAAGUCUUGCCCAAUUACCAAAACAGACAGUUAGUAUCAGCAGAAACCCAUUAGUGUGCAAUGCAAAAAGAGAGAGCAUGGGGUGCUGGAAAGGUUAAUAUGUAAGUUAGAAGCAGUCCCUGCUGCUUCUAAUUGCAUGCCCCAGUUCUGACCUCAGAGAAUGGCAAAGAAAGGAAAAUAUCAUUAGAAAACUACAGGUAGUGAAUUUUGAGUUGCAGCUGGACUAAACAUAUUCAGACAGUGUUUUCUUAGUCCUUUCCAUUUGUUUGAACCAAGCUGUGCUCCUGUGAACAUUUUUGAACAUUAAAUGUCAAGGCAAAGCCAAAAUUAUUAAUUGAUAUGCAGUAUCCCUUAACUUGACAAAGCAAAAUUAGGUUUGGAUUGGCUACUUAACACUGUGGAUCAAGCUAAAACAUGCAUUGCUUUGUUGGCUAAUCACAGAAGUCAAAAGUUAGAACACACUCUUGCACGGAGAGUUAAGAAAGGACUAUGCACCACCUAAGCUUUCUAUCUAAAGCCCUUUCUUUGGGCUUAUGAUGACAGCUCACCCCAUGCAGACAGUAACCUUUUGCCUUGCAAAAUUCAGAUAUCAGUGAAAAGUCGCAAGACGUUCCAAGAAUGAUGGUCGCAAAAAUCACAAAAGAACUCUCCAAAAUGACUCUUCUGAUAGUGGCUGAAGAAGCUACUGAAGAAGCAGGAUGAAGAAGCAGAAUGAAGCAGGGUGAAGAAUGAAGCAGAACCAGUCUAGAUUGUCAGAAAGGACAGCGAAAACUGAUGGAGAUUUCCAGUGUCUCAAGCCAUUCUUCUCUUUCUUCCCUAACAUUAAGAAGAGUUCACAUUGGAGGGUCCUAACCUCUUCAGGGCUAACCAAAAGUUAAAGCACUAUCUAUGUCAUUAUCGAAAUGUCUCUUGAACACUGCAUACAUGUGGCAUCAACCAUGUCUCUAGGAAGUCUGUUUCACUGUUUGUUCACCCUCAUGGUAAAGAAAUUUUUCCUCAUGUCCUGUCUGAACCUCCCCUGGUGCAGCUUUUUGCUGUUCCCACACAUCCUGCCUUUCAGUUCCCUGGGAGCAGAGGCCGUCACCCCUCUCUCCAAUUCGCCUCAUCUGGAAGCUGUAGAAAGCAGUGAGGUUGCCUCUUGGCCUCAUUUUCUCCAGACUAGACAACCCAAGGGUACUGAGCCCCUUUUCAUUGGACAUGCGUACAUCUUGAAGCUAAGGGUAACAGUCUUACAUUAUCUUUGUUGUUAUUUCAGGGUGUGCUGGGUCUGAGGUCACCUUCUCCCCAGCAAUUUCCUCCUCCCGCCUCUCUGUAAUGGCUCUGAUUACAGCACCUAUUGCUAUUACCACCAUCAGAUAUCCUGGGGAAGAAUUUCAAGCCCUAGAAGCCCUGGGGCAAGCAUGAUUACUUUAUAAUAAGAAAAGAGUAAGUGGUGCAGCCCAGUGAAUAAAAGCACUGACAGAGACUCUAACUCAAGGCUUAAAUUUGAAGCUCACUUGGAUGACCUGAAGCAAGUCUCUGGCCUCAUUUUUUUUCACCUCAUGUGAUGAGACAGUAAACUUAAUAAUCUCUUACAGUGUGUUUGCCCAGACUCUACCAGCGGAUCACUUUUGCUCUUCAGGGAGACAUCUAAGUACUAUUGUAGCACCAUAACAAAUCAUUUUAUAAAGCCAAAAAAGACCACAGCAAUCAUCAGGUUUGGUAUCUUGCCAUACACAAUAAUAAAGAAAACCAAAAGUACUUGAAGAAGAUGAAAAUGUAAGUUUAAUUGGCCCCUGUUCAUACUUCUGCCUUUGAACUGUGUGAUAUGAGAGUCUGGUUCUUCAUAUACAGUGUAAGAAUACUUCAGGCAGCUUGAAUGAAAAAAAAAAAAAAAAGAAAAAAAAGAUUUACUGUACCACACUUUAAACUUCACCUCAGAAUUUGACCCUGGGCAGCCACUAGUAGUUACAGCUGGAAAAUUUCACAGCAUGGCUGUCUUGACAUGUAGUUAUUCCUCAACAUUCAAAAGUUGGAUGAAUCAAAACAUUUGAAAAUAUUAAUGUGCCUGUUUGCUAUGGAUCCCUCUCUCCUGUGGCCUGAAGGCAAGAUAAGAACAAAUAAGUACAUAUGUUAAUAUUCCUCUUUUGAAUUUAAUUUUGCCAAAGUCCAUUAAAGAGGUUAACCAUUUCCAUGAAGGUCUGAAAUGGAAAACAGAGCAGAAAUCAAAAUGACAUUGAGAUUUUAGAAAAUUCGUCUUUAAGUUUCUAUUUUUUUUAACUUGUUUUUCAUAGCUGUUUUUGCAGUUCUUUGUAAGCCUUGUGGUACCUUGCUGACCUCUCCAUCAAUGGAUAAUUAGAAGGCCAUCAAGUUCUCAGUGACAAUGAUAUCCAGAUGUCCUUUUAAACACAUGGUUGCUGGGUAACAGGACCUUGCACUGCAUUCCUUCUUUGAAACAUUUGUCCUAUUUUUCAUGUAUUCCUGCCAGUAAGUAUGUCAGCAUUCAGCCAAUGUGCUGGAGGGCAAAAUGCUAGCUGGAGAUUUUUGAUAUCAUGUGCUACUUCCCAAAAGGAAAAUAAUCAGAACAACCAGAGAGCUCUGAUGUGUUGCGCUGCAAAGGGCUGCAUCAACUUGACUUCCACUUUCAUACCAGAUUUCUCUGGCUGAAUUGGUCUUGGGAUGGGAAUGCAUGAGGAUUUACCUUCUUGUUACUGUUUAGUAGUUCUUACUCUUGAAAAACAACAAAAUUUAAAGCACAACUAAGGACACAAGAAUUUGGCCUGACAGAUCUGAAUGACCUUUUGGAUCAUAACAAAGGAUUUUUAAAAAUUCCACUUGUGACAGUGACCAAUGUAUUUCGGGGAAAAAAAAAAAAAAAAAAAAAAAAGUGAAGUCAAAUGACAACCAUGUGUAGUUUAGCAAGGAAUCUGCAAGGCUGUGUUUAAACUUUCUUAGUCAUGUUCCAAAAGCCCUUGAGAAACCCAAAGUCCUUGCAGCCUGCCAUGGUGUUCUUUUGCCCGUGUAUCUUAUGAUAACCUCUAUUUGUAUGACUUUUAAGGAGCCAUUGUUCCACUUACCUAAAAAACAAACAAAUGAACAAAAACAAACAAACAAACAAAAGUGAAGAACAACAAAAAAAAGCAAAGAGUACAGAGAAAAAUGAGAAAACCCAGAGAGUGAAAGUCAUUUUGGGACUAAUACUGAACUUGUAUAAAUAAUAGGGAGUUUUUUAAAAAAGGUAGAGCUUUGUCAUGAUAUGUUACACGUACAAGGAUUAAGUAAGUGACUGUACAUCUGACUACCAAUGGAGAAAAGAGAGAAAGAAUCAGUAUCUGUUCCAGUAAUUCCCUCAGGACUUUGUCUUUUCAAAGAUGUUUUCCUCUCCAGGAUUGUUUUUCUGGUUUUGGCCCUCCUUAGCUAGUGAACUAGUGAGAACAAAAUAAACAGUGCAAAAGGCUGAACAAAAUCAAAGUGCAUAAAGGCUGAACAGUGAAUCUGUUAAGGUAUCCAGAAGCAGACUGCAUAGGGUAGGUAUUCCUGUGUCAAAAUUAUGUGUGAUCACAUUGUUAAAGACUGUGUCAACACAAAAAGCAUAAAGAAGCAAACUGGUAGCUUCUUUCUUUUUUCUUUUUUUUUUUUUUUUUUUUUUUUUUUUUUUUUUCCUUUUUUUUUUUUUCCCCCCUGUUUUAGAGGAGCCCAGCUUUGUAACUUUGAUGCUAACAGUCUGUUUGAUUUAAAUAAUAAUAUGCAAAUAAACAUCAUAUGAGAGUGAGAGCAAAUGCAUUUGCAUACAAAGUAUAUAUAGCAUACUCACUGUCAUUUAAUAUAUAUGGGCUAAAUUCUCCUCUCAGAUACAAUGGUAUAAAUGCAGAUUAAAGCUAUUGGAUGUGACAGAAUUAAUAUAAUUUCACCAAAAUAAAUGGACGGAGGGAGAUUUUUUUCUAAAAAAAUAGCUUCUUAUGAAAACUACCUCUUAGUCCAUGAUGUUUCAUCAAGAUCUUGUGUGAAGGAAUAAAUUGAGCCAUUCCUCCCCAAAGCCUUUAAAAGACAUGUUGCUUAUUUGCUUGUAACCAAAUAAUUCAGCAGGAAACCAGCAGACAAUGGGAAAGCCUACUGCAAGAGGAAAAAAAAAAAGUUUGACAGCACUAAUGAAUAGCUUUGGGCAAUAUAUCUUAUUGAUGACUGCUUCCUUGCUCCUCUCACAAAGACUCCUUCCCAUAGCCCUCAGGGUCAGCUGCUGUGGACGUGAAUACAACGCAGCACUUGAAAGAAUGCUUUCUUCCUCCAUAUCUAAGGUAUUUUUGUGCUCUCCCUCUCCAUGGAACUGGGCUCAGAUAGCAUUUAAGAUGCUUCAAGUGCUGCGAACACGGCUCAGGCUUUUCGCUGACCCUGCAGGGAGGGCUGCUCCAGCAUAUGGGAAUGAUUUGAGAUCCAGAUGUUAGCAGGACCAGAGGAACCAGUGGGCAGCUCUUGCCUGGUUCCAGCUGAUAACUGUUUUUAGGUGGGCAGAUGCUUGGCUCAUACAUAGCAGAUAACAGUCUUGACAGCUGCUCCGUGGAUCCAGGAUGAGGAAAAUGAUGUAUGAACAAGGUAUGAUGAGGUGAAGAGUGGAGCUGAGACCAACUUCUGCUCUGCAUCUCAGUCACCCGGAGAAAGGUUGUACAGUUUAUGCCUGAAAAUGCAAAGUUUAUGAGAACGAACAACUAGACAUGAGAUUGCUAAAUGAACUCUGGAUGUGCUUAUUUAAUUAUCUCAUGAACAUGAACCAAAAGACUAUGUUUAGAAAACAGUAUUUAUGAAGAGAGUUGUGGGUGUGUGGGCAAAUGAUGUAAUUAAUUCCAUAUGUAGUUUUCCUAGUGAAAACUUCAGUAUUUGCUGAAUUCCCCCUCAGUUUUCCUGUGUAGAUUUAGUGAGGAAAAGACGGGAUGGGGGAGAAAUUAUCUUUACAGUCAUCAAGUCUGCUGCACUAAUCUCUAAGAAUAGGUGGGUAUACAUACCUGGGUGCACAAGACCCAGCUCAAAUACUUUCUCAGCUUUAAGGGAAGUAAUCCCUGCAUUAUUGGUGUUUUGCUAAGCAGUUACUCAGACUGUCACCUUUCUGUCCCUGAUGCUGCUUAAUGAACCUGUGAAUGGGCCCUAGCUUUGUACCCUGCAAAAUCAGAAGAAGAGCUAGAGGCAAGGAUGAAGUGUAAAAUUAGAUGAUGGCAGGUUACUGGAGCAGUGCUUCUGUUGAUAGAUCUUUUCCAGAAUGUAGUGGUAAUCUUGUGCAAACCAGAGAAUUUAUUCUAAUUAAAAAAGCCAGUCUUUUAUUUAUUUAUUUAUUUAUUUAUUUAUUUAUUUAUUUUACUGUAAGCAACCAAGACAGAGGUUGUCUAAAGUACCCAUAAUAUUCACUCUUUAUAUAUUCAGGUUUUGCUAAGAGUUAAAAAAUGUCUCUUUUAACCUGAAGAAAUGCUGAUUGUUUCAGAAGUUUUGGAUCCAGUCUUUAUUUGUUCACCAUGAGAAAUGUCCCUUUUAAGAAAGAGAAUUUCAGUUCUAUUGUUCUUGGAUUUACUUUGCCAAGUAACUGGACAAAAGAUUCUAAAAUCACCAGGACAUGUUAGCCAAAAUCUCCUCUCUAGUAACUCUUCUGUUCGCAAUGGUGUCCAAACUUUUUUUCCUUGUUUCUCUCGGUCUUGCCCAGACUUGCUCUUUUUCCCUCUCACUUUUAGUUCUGGUUCCUCACUUCAGCGCUGCUAUUUGAGAGUUAUUCUCCUAUUUUCCCUGAUCUGUAAGCAUCUUCAUGCUUCUUGGGCUGCCAACAGCAAAGAGGUCAUAGCAGCUCAGCAGAGCCUCAGGAGAGCAGAACAAAGAUGUUAUGACUGCAAGGAUGCAGCAUGCAACAAACUUUGGCCAGCUUCACCGUGUCAGACAUGUGAGCAGGAAUGAAAGGAAGACCAGUUAUUUCCCACAGACCACCCAGGGCUGAAUUUGCACCUGAGUGAGUACACAGUUAUUGUAACAGUAAAAAGUUUUGGACUUGUACGAUUUCCAUUUUUUGUUUUCUUUUUUCUUUUUCUGUUUUAUCCUCUUAUAGAUUCUUUUUUCCAAUUACUGCUUUAGAAACUUUCUCAUGUUGUACCUCUCAAGCCAGUGGGA